AUACAGAGCUUGGGGAGAGGGAUAAUAUACCGAUAAAUAAAGAGAGAGAAAAAAACAACUCAGAAUUCCAUGAUUAAAGUCCUAACUUUAUUAGCUACAUGUGUGGAUAUCCUGAGAGAUUAUAAAGUCAUGCAUUUGUGAGGAAAAACUGAAGACCUGAAGAUUCUCUGGGACUAAAGUCACAAAUUUACAAAAUAUAAACAAGGCGGAGAAAAUACUGUUUUCUUUUUUCCCCCUUUUUUCUUUUUGUCACGGAACAUCUCUUAACUUUUCAAGGUUGGAUCAACCUUGACUGGUGCCGCUGUGAUUGAAGUCAAUGGGGCAGGCACGGCAAAUCACACUACAAACAUCAUAUCUUUGUUCUUUGACCUUUGACUGAAAAAUUCUUCCACAAAAUUAAAAAACACAUUAUGUGAUGUUGACUGAUGGUAUUUAUGUAAAUGUGCUGUUUUCCUUAUCAGUCUCCAAACAGAUCAUGGCUUUGUUCAUCAUGACCAGAGAAGAAUGAGAUUACCAUCUCCUCGUUCAUGACCUGUAAUUUUAUCAAGUUUUUUCUUGGUAGUAUCAUUGGUAAUUUCUUGCUCUGUUAAUUGGCUUAACGUUUGUUAUAUUGGUUAAUGUAUAUAUUCCUCAGAUGGUUUUUAUACUUUAAUUUCAUUUUCCUGACAAAGUUGAGAAAUAAUAUGCUAUCAGAAACUAUAGAUUCAAUUAUAUCAAAAUGUAUUAGGCUUAUGGGUUGUUAUUCUAUACAUUAUAUCUUAUUCAUAUUUAUAAUGUGGCUUGCCCACUACCUGAAUGUUAACCAUUCCUCCAGCUGGCAGUAACCUUUGUUAGCUUAGCUUAGUUUGUUUUAGAUGCUGAGCCAUAAAAUUACAUUUCAGCAACUGUGAAGAAAACUAAUUACAACUUUCAACAGUCAUACCCCUCAGGACCUUAGCCAUUUUGCACAAGUUAUAUCGUCAAAAUGAGAAAAAUAAUAGCUUAAAUCACUGGGGAGCUAUAUUAGCAUAAAUGAGGAUCUAACAUCACAGUAGUGCUGUCAUUUACUUCAAAAACACCACGAAAAACAAUAAUUUAACAUUAAAGACAGACUAACUAGGUAACACUUUAUAUUAAUGUACUGUAAUAAGUGUUAAUUAAUGCUUAAGAAGUACCAAUUAACAGUUAAUGAGCACUUAUAAGACAGAAUAAGAUGUUUAUUACCAUUAAUAGGACUAUUUAAGUGUUAAUUAUAGCAUAAUUAACACAGUUAUUAUUGCAUAUAGGAGCAUUAUAAGCACUUAAUAGAAACUUGAUAACAGUUUAUAAAGCUGUCCUAAAUAUUAAUUAAUAAGAUGUCUAUUUACAUUAAUUAGGAUUUAUAAGGGUUAAUUAUAGAACAAUAGCCACAUUUAUUACUGGUUUAUAAGACACUAUAAGACCCUAUCAGAUUAAAUUAAUAAGGUGUUAUUAAUAGUUAAUAAUGAUCCUUUGCAGCUACCAGAUCUAAAGUGGGAACAGUUAAUAAAUUAUCAAUAUGCUCUCAGGGCUCAAAACUAACGGUGUCCCGAUGUCCCGGGGACUAUAAAAAUUGCUACUGGGACACAAACAUGAUGUGUCUGGGACAAUUCCAGGACAGUAAAAAAAAAAAAAAAAAAAAAAGUCUAAGCAAUAUCGAAAUGGGUGUUAUUUACAACGUCAUUACGUAUGGGUAUGUGAACGUCGCUUUUGUCGCUUGAAUAAUGUCAAUAAAAACUUAUGAACAGCAAAAAUACAGUGGCUUUUGCAGCACCUGAUCUGGCUCCACACGCACGCACAUGCACACACAAGGAACUCAACUCACUGCAUGAUGGUCACGCUGGGUGCCACUCGCCAGCUAUGCUCGCCACUCCACAUAGCACAGAACCUAGUAAUGCUAAGAUGGCUGAAACAACUGAUGCAAGCUCCUCCAGUGCCGCUCCAAUUGGAGUAGGAUGCGACACUUCGCUUCAGGAACUCUGAAGACGAUGUUUCAUCUGUUUCUGCCCCUGUGAGGGAUGGGCUGACAUUGCAGAUGGUGUCAGAUGGACUGCAGAAGACGACCCUGGCUCUUGUAGCCAUGCAGACAGUCCCAGGUCAGCAUCUGAAGCAGUUCCUGGAUGAAGUGGGACCUUUUCCUGGAAACACCUUCUCUGGUGUAAAACUCAACAGGAAACAAGUGGAUGAUGAUGACUUCCACAAAGUGAAAGAUAAACUAAUCAAUGGCUUCUGUGACAACCUCACCACAUGGUUUGGCAACCUUGAUGAGGGUGUCUUGAAUCAAUCAAUCAAUCAUGUUUAUUUAGAAAUCCCAAUAUCACAAAUCACAGUUUGCCUCACAGGGCUUUACAGCAUACAACAUCCCUCUGUCCUUAGGACCCUCACAGCGGAUAAGGAAAAACUCCCCAAAAAAACCCCUUUAACGGGGGGGGAAAAAAAAACGGUAGAAACCUCAGGAAGAGCAACUGAGCAGGGAUCCCUCUUCCAGGAUGGACAGACAUGCAAUAGAUGUCGUACAGAACAAAUGAAGGCCACUGCCACCAUGUUUGAUGUAAGCAGCUGGCCUGAAGACAUCACUGGCCUGGCCACCUUUGGCCUGGCCGAUGUUGAGACUUUUGUCACUCACUUUCAGAAAACUGAUGGGUUACAGGGAGCUUUGUGGAACACUGUAUUCACGAACAGUCAAUCUAAGUAACAAAACUUUUGAA